AGAAGAAGCUCAAUUAAUGCACCAGGCACUAUCUUGUUCCAUUCUUUGAUGGCUUAAGGAGGUGGUUGAUGAAUUAAGAAAAUGAAGGCCCAAGAAAGGAAGCUGUGAUCAAGGUGAAGAGAAAAACCUCCAAGGAGUUAGACCUGAGUCUUUGUAGUUGUUGGAGGCAAUGUUUGCUUUUCUCUUUCGGAUCCUGAAACAAGUCCAGGAUCACAGUGCUCUGGGGACAGAAUCUCCCUUCUGCAAGAGUUCCAGAAAGUUCUAUCUCAGUUACGUGGCUUGAAGGACUGGAAUCACCAGAGUUCCGUUUCGACAAGGUUUUGACCUCACCUUCCUUAGCAGACACCAGAGCACUUUGGAAUUUCUCUUCCUGUCAAGCAGGAGCCUCUUUAUCAUGCCCUCCUCUCCCUUACGCCUUCCCUACCUGCCGCAAGUACCUGCAAAGCCUGUAGAAAGGAAGUCAUCCAGCUGAUACAGGGAAAUGCUUUGAAGGCAUUUCGGAAAUUACAUCCUACUCAUGCAUGUUUCCUGGGGCAGGGCGGUUUCAGCUGGGCGAGAAGAGAUGGAAAAGGCAGGCAUUUCCCACACACAGCCUACAACUCUUAGUUAGGCGGCUGCUCAGACGCGGAUGCGGCUUCUAACGUCAAAUGACAGUCAUGGUCAGGAAAGCCCAGGACGAGUCCUGAAGAUAGUCCUACAUGGCAGGGCCGUUCGGUCUUUCCUUUUCUGGCUCACGCAGUGUUCCCAUGAUGCAAAGAGUCACAGAGGGGAUUGGGAAGCUGCAGAUCAGAGGUGGGGGCUCAGCUCUCUGCCUGAAAAAAAAAAAGACAAUAAUAAAGGAACAGAGCAAAAUGGCAAAGUCUGACAAAUAGAAGUUGAGAAUAGGACUAAUAAAGGGAUUUGAGGCCAAAGCUGUGUGGAAGCCUCGGUUUCAAAACAAGAGAAAAAGGACACCUAUGUUUAUUCCCUGCGUCUCUGAUGGUCUGUUUGAAUCCUCCGCUCAGGCCUGACCAGGGUUAUGCGAAUAACUGCAGCAGUAAAACACACCGUUGCUUUGGAAGUUUUAUUCUUUCUUUAAGACAUAUCAAGUAAAUGUUAAUAAUGACAUCUGUUAUAGUUAUCCUUUCUAGUUUAAUAAAGUCAAAUGGCUUAUCCUGUACUUGCUAUAGGCUGAAUAUUUGUGUCCCUCACAAAAUUCAUUUGUUAAACCCUAACCAUGAUGGAAUCGGGAGGUCGGGGCCUUUGGGCGAUGAUGUCAUGGGGGUGGGGCCCUCAUGAACGGGAUUAGUGCCCUUAGAAAAGAGAUCGCCGAGAGCUCCCUCACCUCCUCUUCCCUGUGAGGACACACAGCAAGAAGACAUCCACCAGUGAACUUGGAGGACAGCCCUCACAGACACUGAAUCCGCUCACCCUUUGGCCUUGGAUUUCCCAGUCUCCAGAACUGUGAGAAAUAA